AUCCUCGGAAUAUCCGAAUAAAGGGCGGCUUCUUUAAUUCUUUCUCAACAGUAAAAUUCAGUAGUAGUACCAAUUAUUUUUUCAACAGUAUUACCAAUUCAAAAUUAGGAAAACUGUUAAAGCUAAUGGUACAUUAACAAGUUCAAUUUGGAAAUAAUCCAUUUUCAAAAUUAGCAAAGAUUUUCAAGCAAAAUCCCUCAAACCGAUCGUUCAAAAUUUAAUUCAAAUUUAAAAAAUCCGAUCAUCGGAAAAAAAUCAAACUUUCCGACGAACCAUAAACCCUAAGACGUAGCUGAUGCAGAGGAUAAUAUCAAUUUCAUCGGAUUAUUUGAAUCGAAUAAUCCAGAAUCUUCAUAGCAGUUAUUCGCCGCCAAUAUGGGCAACUGUAGUUGCUGGAUUCUUCGUAAUCCUUACUCUCACACUUUCUACGUAUCUCAUCUUCGAACACCUUUCAGUUUACAAAAAUCCCGAGGAACAAAAGUUUUUGAUUGGAGUAAUAUUGAUGGUGCCUUGUUAUGCUGUUGAAUCAUUUGUGUCAUUGGUAAAUCCAGCGAUUAGUGUUGACAUCGGGAUACUACGUGAUUGCUAUGAAUCCUUUGCAAUGUACUGCUUUGGGAGGUAUCUUGUUGCAUGUUUAGGUGGGGAAAAGAGAACCAUAGAAUUUAUGAAGAGGGAAGGACGCGCAGGUUCAAAGAUGCCACUACUAGAGCAUGGCUCUGAAAAGGGGAUUGUUAAGCAUCAUUUUCCCAUGAAAUAUAUUUUCAAGCCAUGGAAACUUGGUCAGUGGGUAUACCAAGUUAUCAAGUUCGGAAUUUUCCAAUAUGUGAUAAUCAAAGCAUUUACUGCUACUUUGGCAGUGAUUCUUGAAGCUUUUGAUGUAUAUUGUGAAGGAGACUUCAAAUGGAAUUGUGGGUAUCCAUAUAUGGCCGUGGUUUUAAAUUUCAGUCAAUCAUGGGCAUUGUAUUGCUUAGUUCAAUUUUAUACUAUUGCAAAGGAUGAAUUAUCUCACAUCAAGCCGCUGUACAAGUUUCUAACAUUCAAGUCAAUUGUUUUCUUAACUUGGUGGCAAGGCGUGGUGAUAGCCCUGUGCUCUACACUUGGUUUCUUUAGAAGUCCAAUAGCUCAAGCUUUACAGUUUAAGUCCAGUGUUCAAGAUUUCAUCAUAUGCAUUGAGUACAGAUGGGCAUUGCUUCUGUAGUUCACCUCUAUGUCUUCCCUGCCAAGCCAUACGAGCUGAUGGGAGAGCGUUUUACUGGGGAUGUUGCAGUUCUGGGAGAUUACGUAUCUGCUGACUUGCCAGUAGAUCCUGACGAGGUUAGAGAUAGUGAACGUCCCACCAAGUUACGUCUUCCUCAACCAGAUAUUGAUGAUGGGGGUGGAACUACCAUUAGAGAAAGUGUUAAAGAUAUCUUUAUCGGAGGUGGUGAAUAUAUAGUGAAUGACUUGAAAUUCACAAUAACCCAAGCAGCGGAACCCGUUGAGAAAGGAAUUCAAAAAUUACAUAAAAUCUCUCAGAACAUAAAGAAACACGAUAAAGGGAGAAAAACUAAGGACGACAGUGGCGUUGCCACGUCAUCCCCAACACGAAGAGUCAUACGUGGGAUAGAUGAUCCCCUUUUGAACGGAAGCGUUAGUGAUAGUGGCAUUUCUAGGAAGAAGAGGCACCGUAAAAAAUCUGAAAAUAUCAGUGCAGAAAGUGGUGGAGAGAGUAGCACUGAUCAGAACUUUGGUGGUAUUCAAGUUCGUGGUCGAAGGUGGGUUACUAAGGAUUAACAGAAGGUCUGAGAAGAAAAUUUCCGAACAUUUGUAUGUAUGCAUCUGUUGCUUUGGAAGCCUGCGGUGUUUAAUUCUCCACUACAUUAUUCUUUUGCUUUUCCUACGGGCUUCGUUUACUUGCCCUUUUAGAAAUGAAAGUGCUAUAUUUUAUGAAAGCACUUCUUGAUUGAUUUUUCUGUCAUUGUUGUUGCACAUAAUGGGUCUUGGAAUCUUGUAUAGAGUUAUGUGUGCUCCUGAAUGUAUGAUCCCUCACUAUAGCUGAAUCAGUUAGCCGCUUAUGGUUCUUCUUUAUAAACGUGGUUGGUAUA